UUUGAGAUUGCUAAAAGACUGACAUUGAUGGAAACAGAACAAUCAAACAGAUUUUCAUACAUCCAUUAAAAGCAUUUGAUGUUAUAAACUACAAACAAAAUCACUUUUAACAACUUGAUGGCACUAGAAGAUACAAGUUCUAACAUACUUCCGAAUGUCUAUACCAAACAGCUUCCAAAUGCCUAUUACCAAGGAUUAAAAACAUUCCAAAUGAACCUCUCAAAUUUCAAACUCCAGCAAAAUCGAAUUAUUAUUAUUUUCCGACAAAUGCACGUUCAUUCAAUAGCGCAUGCACACAAAUACCUCUGUAUAGCAUAGUAAUACCACCAAAACAAUGAUAAUUUAAGAUAAAAGACUUAAAAAAUUUAUAAGAAAAUCUCAGGACACCAUGGAAACAGAAA
rnacentral:lncRNA from 1 species